AAGAACAUGGAUAUCAGAUCGCAUAGCUUCUUUAAAUGGAACGACUGUGAAGUAUGUUUUGGAGCAAGAUAAAGCAGCCUUCAUACGGUUGAUUGGUGUUAGUGUCCUUCAAAGUGCGGCUUCAUCAUUUGUUGCACCUUCUUUGAGGCAUUUGACUGCCAG